rnacentral:rRNA from 1 species
CCUACGGGCGGCAGCAGUGAGGAAUAUUGGUCAAUGGCCGGGAGGCUGAACCAGCCAAGUCGCGUGAGGGAAGACGGCCCUACGGGUUGUACACCUCUUUUGUCAGGGAGCAAGGUGCAGGUCGGGUCCUGCUGUGUGAGUACCUGAAGAAAAAGCAUCGGCUAACUCCGUGCCAGCAGCCGCGGUAAUACGGAGGAUGCGAGCGUUAUCCGGAUUUAUUGGGUUUAAAGGGUGCGAAGGCGGAGGCAUUAGUCAGCGGUAAAAGCGCGGGGCUCAACCCCGCCCCGUCGUUGAAACUGUGUCCCGUGAGUGCGCGCAGGGUAGGCGGAAUGCGUGGUGUAGCGGUGAAAUGCAUAGAUAUCACGCAGAACUCCGAUCGCGAAGGCAGCCUACGGGCGCGCAACUGACGCUCAUGCACGAAGGCGUGGGUAUCGAAUAGGAUUAGAUAUCCUGGUAGUC